GUCACUUUGAAUACUGAAUCAGCACAUUCUGAACCAUUUAUUGCUAAGGAACAUACACGGUUAAGUUCCUGCAAGCUUCUGGUCACAUUUUUAUUAAUCAAGUACAUAGUCUUGUUUUCUGUGUUUCUGUUUACAGAUGCUUCAUUUAAAAUAUAUUAUCAAUUCAUUAACAUUGAUAUCACAGCUGAUAGCACUGUAAUUCAUGCCUAAAUGAUACUUAUGUAACAUAUAUUUUCUCCAUAAGACCCAUCAAAACCUUCAGGUGGUUAGGAUCACUAGACAGCACUUAGUACUGUGGUUAGGGGCCACAUUAAACAAUAAAAUUACCAUCAAAAAGAACAAAAACCUGAAAAAUAUGGCACUUCUAUAAGUAUCAAAAAAGUACACUAAUCUACAGUGAAGGCUAAAACAAGGAGGCAAACUGUACUCUUGUUCAUACUCAGCCAUAAACACAUGUGAUCAGCAAUUCAAACUUUUUCCUACUCUGCACAUAUCCUCAAAAGAUUGAAAGGUGAUGC
rnacentral:lncRNA from 1 species